rnacentral:RNase_P_RNA from 1 species
GGGGAAACCCACGACCAGUGCAACAGAGAGCAAACCGCCGAUGGCCCGCGCAAGCGGGAUCAGGUAAGGGUGAAAGGGUGCGGUAAGAGCGCACCGCGCGGCUGGUAACAGUCCGUGGCACGGUAAACUCCACCCGGAGCAAGGCCAAAUAGGGGUUCAUAAGGUACGGCCCGUACUGAACCCGGGUAGGCUGCUUGAGCCAGUGAGCGAUUGCUGGCCUAGAUGAAUGACUGUCCACGACAGAAC